rnacentral:rRNA from 1 species
GUUUGUUUGGAGUUAUAAAGAAUUUGACCUGCCCCCUGAUUAACUAUUAAAGGGCCGCAGUAUUAUAACUGUGCAAAGGUAGCAUAAUCAUUAGGUUUUUAAUUGAAAUCUCGUAUGAAUGGUUGGACAAGAGAAAGACUCUCUUUAUAUUAAGUUUUGAAUUUAACUUUUAAGUGAAAAGGCUUAAAUAUUCUAAAGGGACGAUAAGACCCUAUAAAACUUUACAUUGUUAUUAGUUUUGAUUGAAUUUAUGAAAUAAGAAUUUUAUUUGAUUAUUUGUUAUGUUGGGGAGACACAAGUAAAAUAUUUUUUUAACUGCUUGACAAUUAUACAAUUAUUAGUGAGUAAGUGGAGGAUCCUUUUUAAGAUUAGUAGAUUAAGUUACUUUAGGGAUAACAGUGUAAUUUCUUUUGAGAGUUCUUAUCGAAAAAGAAGGUUGCAACCUCGAUGUUGAAUUAAAAUAUCUAUAUAAUGGAGAGGUUAUAUAAGAAGGUCUGUUCGACCUUGAAAUUUUUACAUGAUUUGAGUUCAAACCGGUGUGAG